rnacentral:tmRNA from 1 species
GGGGGCGAUCUGGAUUCGACGGGGGUAGGAACGCCGAGGUUGCGUGCCCGGGAUCCUGGGUACCGGUAACAACCCCAGGGCUGCUUAAACGCAGACGAACCUGUAGCACUGGCUGCCUAAGGGCAACCACGUCUGACUUGGCCGCGCCCGUAGGCUGAGAUCAGGCGACGCAAAUCGGGAUAAGCGGCGGCGAGGGCUCGGGCGCCGCUGACGAAAAUGCACGAGCUGGUUGUCGGCGAUCCUGUUCGUGGGAGCGCCGGCCACGAGAACAAAGCACGAAACUACGCACGUAGACGCCCAGGCCGACCGCUUCCGGACGGGGGUUCGAUUCCCCCCGCCUCCAUCC